rnacentral:ncRNA from 1 species
GUCCUGAGUAGAAGCAGUCAGAAGCCGCCCUGUCGGCGGUUUCGGGUCAUUGCUCAGUCG